AAGGAAAGAAACCUUAGAUGAAAAUCCUUCUAUUGUACUUUUCAAACCCCUUAAGGUAUGCUCAUUAUAACUCUCUUCGAUGUGGCUGCUAUAAUGGGUCUUAAACCAACAGGUUGAGUUUUAACCUUAAACUUAGUUUGAACCAGUCUUGUCAUCCUUGAGUUAUAUUCAAUUCAUCCAAAACAAUAAUGCAAACUCAAGAGAUGUCUCUAACAAGGAGCACAUUGCAUUUCCUUUAUUUUGGCAACACCACUGUGCCUUUUUUUGCUCAAAAUCAAUUUCCAUAGGAAAAACCUUACUUCCUUUGGCUAGACUUCUUCAUAAGGGUAAAAUCAUCAGUUUGAGAAACCUUCUUUUAGCUCAACUCUUCUAAUAUCUUGGUGACUUAUAUGAAAUUCUCUCAAAAAAAUGAAGAUUUAAUUUCAAAUGUAGAUGACCCCUUUUGGCUUUUGCAAUUAUGGUUGAAUGUUGUUUAUCCUCUGAGUUUUCAUAAUUUAAGUGUUUCUCUACUUAUUUUUACACCGUAUGGACAAUAACUUGUUCUUCUCACUAAAAUUAUUCCUCAUAUUGAGUAUUUCUUAUUUCAGUAAUUGUUUCAAAUGUUUUUUUUUUUUACUUUAGACAAACAUCAUUGUUGUCUUGCCCCCAUUGUUGAUCGAAUUAUGUGACUUGUUUGGUUCACCCAAAGUCUCCCUUAUGAAACUAAUAGUGAAACCAUAGAGAUAUGGAGUGACUUUUUAAAUGGUUGAUUGUUCCCUUUAGGUCUAACUUGUUUCAAGGCAAUUUGGUUUCGGCUGAAGGCUACCCACUUCUAUUCUCUUAACCACCAAAGAUAUUCUUUUGUCUGGCCAGUUGUCUUGGUCUUCCUUCGAGCUCAGUGAGAAAAAUAGAAAAAAUUUGAAGCUAGAGUAUUGCCUCAUACAUCUUGUCAAGUGUUUUUACACUACAAUUAGCUUUCACAUAUGGUGGAAAUGGUAUUUCAACAACAUUUUGAAGGAAUUUGAUGAUUGCUUCAAAAGUUAACUUGUUGAUACUUCUUCUUUGCAAAUAGGGAAUCCUAACACCAAGAGACCAACUAUGUAUCUCGAGGAAAAUAUCAAAUUCGAGAAAUAUUUUAAGAAUGCUUACAAAAUUAAAGAACUUGGUAGAAUUUUGAAGUAUGCUCCUGAAGUUUUACUUGAGAAGAUUAAGGCUAGGAAAGAAAACUCAAAUUUGAUGCAGAAAUUUAAAACUAAAUCUUCGAACAUUGUGAAUUCAAAUUCUUUUGUCCUAAAUUCUCUACUUUACCGAAUGCUCCAUUUGGAGUAGCAAAACCCCUUCUUGACCCAAAAGGGUUUAUGCCCCUUUAAGUUGGAUAUUCUUUAUAAAAAAUCUAAGUCACAAAAAGUUAUAGAUAGUUCAUGCCACCUUUGGAUUUUCUCAUUUAAUCUUGGUAUUGACUUUCGUGCAAGCAAACUAUUCCUUGAACCAAAAGGUAGUCUUUCUUACCUUUGUGCAAUAUGUAUUCUAUAUUUAUCUAACUUUGGUUAACUUUCAACAAAUGAUGUACCAACCAAUGUUUCGAAGAAGGAUUUCAAGAAGAAAAGUUCACGGGAUCUGUUUCCAAUGAUAUAAUCCUUAGAGGAAGAUGAGGCUCCAAAGAAAAAGAAGAUCAACGUUAAAUCUAAGAUAGUCCCGUCAUCAACCCACUCUUCGGCCCCUGAGGAUGAAGUUCUUGAGAGUCCUUGGAAAAGGAAAUCUCGAAGCCAAAUGGAUCAAGAGUCUUCUAAACGCAACAAAAGGCUUGUGAAUGUUGAUGUAGUGGACUGUGUCAUAGAUGAUGAUAGCAUGCCCAUUGGCACUAUAAUUUCGAAGCUUGAAUCAGAAGGAACCUGAAGGUGCAACCAGUUGAUCUUACUAAGAGAUUGAACCAUCCAUUCAUCCUGCUAAAACACCAAAGUCACCUCAACAUGUUUCUAAAAAUGAAGAACAAGGCCAAGGGAAUGGUAAUCUUGAUACUUUGAGUACCUCACCCAGAGUGGCCUUCUUUAGAAGAAAAGGGCUAAAGUGACACAAGUAAUUUAUCAUGUUUUACCACUAAAGUGACACAAUAGUUGAGGAAUUGUGGAACUAAAGAUGUCCAUAUCAACAAAAUCAAAGUAUUUGUUAAUGUCAUACAAGGAAGAUAUGGAUUUAUGUGGGGAGACAAAUACUGGAGACAGUUGAGAUGUUUUCUCAAAAUGAAUUUGGUAGAAAAGAUGACUUUGAAGAAUUGGAUUCUAAAAUGAGUGUGGUGUUGGGAUACCAAAAGCAUGAACAUUUUCAAGUGGGUGGAUUUAGAUUUAUUGGUGGAGAAGGGAAGAACGUUGUUCUAGAAAGAAAAACAUUCUUGAGGAAUGUUGACUCCAAAAUUCUGAGUAUUUGGGUUUAAAGAUGUUUUCCUAUCAGAGCAUUUCCUUUUGAUGGGACCAAGAGAGAAAGGAGAUUGAUCUUGAGGGAUAUGUUGAGUUGGGGGAAGCGAUGAAUCUUUUUCAUGUGGGAGAUGUUUUUGGAAGAUAAUUUUGAAAUUUUGAUAAUGGAUUUUUCAUUUCUUAGAGGGACAUUGAAGUAUUUGAAAAUUUUAGUGACAAUCAUACUAUAGGGAACAAUAUUGCUUUUGUAAUCAUGAGUGGUGAAGGCUAUCAUUAUCUGAAUGAUGACGUAGAGAAGGUUGAGUCUUUUGCAAUGGAGGAGGUGAUAGAUGAUCAAGAAAUCAUUAUUAGAAACAUACUCAUGACUACCACAAUAUGGAAAACCAAAUGUUGACUGAUAUUGUUGAAAAUUUUGGGAAAGGGUUUGAAAUAUGCACACACAAAAUUUGUUGAUUUAGGAAUGAAGAGCUCAUUGAAAACUACAUCUUUGUUGAUAUUUAGAGCAGAAUGCCAAUCUUUUCCAAAUAUGGUUGGCCCUUAUGUGGGUAGAUGUAGAAUUUCAGCCAAACUUGCAGAAGUCAGACGAAUUUCAACCCCUUUUUGAGUGGUGAUUUAGAAGAAGGGGCAGGGUGUGUGAGUGGAGGUGGGGAACCAGAUUCAUCAUCUGAGAUGGUGUAGAUGGUUGUGUCCACACUUUUUGAUUGUUUAAACUUUUUGAUUGUGUCCACACUUUUUGAUUGUUUGGAGGUACCAACUCCAGCUAUGAUAAAUAUGUUGUAAAAAUGUUUAACGUAAAGUUACAAUUCUCAUGUGUCUUAGUGUACUUAAUUAUAAAUUUCAAA